rnacentral:rRNA from 1 species
UCGGAGUCCGAUUAAGCCAUGCAAGUCUACGCUACCCCUUGGUAGUGUGGCGAACGGCUGAGUAACACGUGGUCAACCUACCCUAAGGAAGUGGAUAACCUCUGGGAAACUGAGGGUAAUCCGCUAUAGGUGAGGGAUGCUGGAAUGCUUCCUCGCUUAAAGGGCUGGUGAAUUGGAGCCAGACCGCCUUAGGAUGGGGCCGCGGGGGAUUAGGUUGUUGGCGGGGUAACGGCCCACCAAGCCUAUAAUCCCUAGGGGCCAUGUAAGUGGGAGCCCCCAGAAGGACACUUAGACAAGGGUCCUAGUCCUACGGGAUGCAGCAGGCGCGAAACCUCCGUAAUGCGCGAAAGCGUGACGGGGGGACUCCGAGUGGUCUCCAUCUGGAGAUCUUUUGUGGAGUCUAACUCGCUCCACGAAUAAGGGGUGGGUAAGACCGGUGCCAGCCGCCGCGGUAAUACCGGCACCACUAGUGGUACCCGCGAAUAUUGGGUCUAAAGCGCCCGUAGCCGGCUUAGUAAGUCACUGGCGAAAUCCUCGGGCUUAACCUGAGGGCGUGCCAGUGAUACUGCUGAGCUAGGGAGUGGGGGAGGCCAGAGGUACUUCCGGGGUAGGGGUAAAAUCCGUUAAUCCUG